UACGUAGGGUGCGAGCGUUGUCCGGAAUUAUUGGGCGUAAAGAGCUCGUAGGCGGUUUGUCGCGUCGUCCGUGAAAACUUGGGGCUCAACCCCAAGCUUGCGGGCGAUACGGGCAGACUUGAGUACUGCAGGGGAGACUGGAAUUCCUGGUGUAGCGGUGAAAUGCGCAGAUAUCAGGAGGAACACCGGUGGCGAAGGCGGGUCUCUGGGCCGAUACUGACGCUGAGGAGCGAAAGCGUGGGGAGCGAACAGG
rnacentral:rRNA from 1 species